AGUGAACGCUGGCGGUAGGCCUAACACAUGCAAGUCGAACGGCAGCACAGUAAGAGCUUGCCCUUACGGGUGGCGAGUGGCGGACGGGUGAGGAAUACAUCGGAAUCUACUUUUUCGUGGGGGAUAACGUAGGGAAACUUACGCUAAUACCGCAUACGACCUACGGGUGAAAGCAGGGGAUCUUCGGACCUUGCGCGAUUGAAUGAGCCGAUGUCGGAUUAGCUAGUUGGCGGGGUAAAGGCCCACCAAGGCGACGAUCCGUAGCUGGUCUGAGAGGAUGAUCAGCCACACUGGAACUGAGACACGGUCCAGACUCCUACGGGAGGCAGCAGUGGGGAAUAUUGGACAAUGGGCGCAAGCCUGAUCCAGCCAUACCGCGUGGGUGAAGAAGGCCUUCGGGUUGUGAAGCCCUUUUGUUGGGAAAGAAAAGCAGCAGGUUAAUACCCCGCUGUUCUGACGGUACCCAAAGAAUAAGCACCGGCUAACUUCGUG
rnacentral:rRNA from 1 species